rnacentral:rRNA from 1 species
UACGGGGGGAGCAAGCGUUGUUCGGAUUUACUGGGCGUAAAGGGCGCGUAGGCGGCGCAACAAGUCACUUGUGAAAUCUCCGGGCUUAACCCGGAGCGGUCAAGUGAUACUGUCGUGCUAGAGUGCGGAAGGGGCUACUGGAAUUCUCGGUGUAGCGGUGAAAUGCGUAGAUAUCGGGAGGAACACCAGUGGCGAAGGCGGCUUUCUGGCCUGUUCUUGACGACUG